UACGUAGGGUGCAAGCGUUAAUCGGAAUUACUGGGCGUAAAGCGUGCGCAGGCGGCUAUGCAAGACAGAUGUGAAAUCCCCGGGCUCAACCUGGGAACUGCAUUUGUGACUGCAUGGCUAGAGUACGGUAGAGGGGGAUGGAAUUCCGCGUGUAGCAGUGAAAUGCGUAGAUAUGCGGAGGAACACCGAUGGCGAAGGCAAUCCCCUGGACCUGUACUGACGCUCAUGCACGAAAGCGUGGGUAGCAAACAGG
rnacentral:rRNA from 1 species